rnacentral:rRNA from 1 species
AUUGAACGCUGGCGGCAGGCCUAACACAUGCAAGUCGAGCGGAUGAAGGGUGCUUGCUCCUGGAUUCAGCGUCGCACGGGUGAGUAAUGCCCAUGAAUCUCCCUGGUAGUGGUGUAUAAUGUCCUGAAACGGGCGCUAAUACCGCAUACGUCCUGCGGGAGAUACUUGGGGGUCUUUGGACCUCACCCUAUCAUGUGAGUGUAGGCCGGAUUAGAUAGCUGGUUGGGUAAAGGCCUACCAAGGCGAGGAUCCGUAACUGGUCUGAGAGGAUGAUCAGUCGCCUUGGAACUUAGACGCGGUCCAGGGUACUAAGGGAGGCAGCAGUGGGGAACAUUGGACAGUGGUGGAGAGCCUGAUACAGUCAGGGCGCGUGUGAGAAGAAGAUGUUCGGAGUGUAAAGCACUUUAAGUUGGGGUGAAGGGCAGUAAGUUAAUACGUUGCUGUUUUGACGUUACCAACAGAAUAAGCACCGGCUAACUUCGUG